rnacentral:rRNA from 1 species
GACGAACGCUGGCGGCGUGCUUAACACAUGCAAGUCGAACGGAAAGGCCCUGCUUUUGUGGGGUGCUCGAGUGGCGAACGGGUGAGUAACACGUGAGUAACCUGCCCUUGACUUUGGGAUAACUUCAGGAAACUGGGGCUAAUACCGGAUAGGAGCUCCUGCUGCAUGGUGGGGGUUGGAAAGUUUCGGCGGUUGGGGAUGGACUCGCGGCUUAUCAGCUUGUUGGGGGGGUAGUGGCUUACCAAGGCUUUGACGGGUAGCCGGCCUGAGAGGGUGACCGGCCACAUUGGGACUGAGAUACGGCCCAGGCUCCUACGGGAGGCAGCAGUGGGGAAUAUUGCACAAUGGGCGGAAGCCUGAUGCAGCAACGCCGCGUGCGGGAUGAAGGCCUUAGGGUUGUAAACCGCUUUCGCCUGUGACGAAGCGUGAGUGACGGUAAUGGGUAAAGAAGCACCGGCUAACUACGUG